UUGCUGACAUGUUGACCACAGUAGCAAUACUCAGACAGGCAGGAAACAUCCUUAUGAACCAAGACAGAAGGUGCAGGCAGAGAAGGCGGCUGUGGGCAACAGGGAUGUCCGUACUGACCCAGACAGGAGGGUCUGUGUUGGGAGAGUUCCAUCAUUCUGUUGUCCGUGGUGAGAAAGAAGGCUAGAAUAUUUUAGAUACCCUAGCUUAUUCAAUUCCGAGGAGUUUUAUUAAGACAACUCGAAGCAGACCGGCUUAGUCCUUCCUACUUCUGGAGGGAGUAGCGCACAUGAAAGCCUGUUCUGUAUAUCACUCACCUCCAAUGAUAGCCGAGUUUCUGUUGACUCCAUUUCUUAUAGCUUGACCUUGGCCUGGAUUAUACGGAAAAUCAGCACUGGCUGCGGAGGAAGACAGGAAAUAGUCAAAUGGUCCCGACAUCCUCUGGGAAAUGCACACCGGGAAACACGGAAACCAAGAGACACGAGUGAGAACAGAGCACAGAGCUCAUCCAUGACCCAGGCUUCAUUCUGCUCCAUCCCACCCCUGGCUUGCUGGGCGAGCUGAGCAAUUUUAGGGGUGCAGCACUAUCAAGGGACGUAUAUUUUGGGAAAAGUC